rnacentral:misc_RNA from 1 species
AAUGUGGUUACAUGUCAUAUGGACACCUCGCGUGCUUAUGUAUGGAGGCUUCAAAAUUUUGUUCUUGGCGAGCAUAUUUUAACUCCAUGUCCUAAAAAUCCAACUCCAGUCAAGGCUUGCGCUAUUAGUGCCUGUGGAAACUUUGCUGUACUAGGGACGGCCAGCGGUUGGAUUGAGCGGUUUAAUCUUCAGUCAGGAAUCAGCCGUGGCAAUUAUGUUGAUGCGUUAGAAGGUGAAAGUGCUGCUCACAAUGGGGAAGUAAUUGGCAUAGCUUGUGAUGCAACAAACACCAUCAUGAUAAGUGCUGGAUACCAUGGUGAUGUAAAAGUUUGGGACUUCAAACGUCGCCAGUUAAAAUAUAAGUGGGAGGUUGGGUGUUGCUUAGUUAAGAUUGUGUUCCACCGUUCUAAUGGUCUUUUGGCUACAGUGGCAGAUGACUUAGUUAUCCGUCUAUUUGAUGUUAUUGCACAGAGGUUGGUUCGUAAAUUUGAGGGUCAUUCUGACCGUAUUACUGACAUCUCCUUUAGUGAGGAUGGGAAAUGGCUUUUGACAUCCAGUAUGGAUGGGACUCUCAGAAUCUGGGAUGUAAUUUUAGCUAGACAGAUAGAUGCAAUACAAGUUGAUCUGUCUAUCACUGCAUUAUCUUUAUCGCCGAAUAUGGAUAUCUUGGCUACAUCGCAUGUUGAUCAAAAUGGUGUUUAUCUGUGGGUCAAUCAAGCGAUGUUCUCUGGAGCAGCCAGCUUUGCUUCAUAUGGAAGUGGAAAAGAAAUAGUCAGUGUGAAAAUGCCGUCUGCUGCUUCUGAAAAAGAUGGUGAAAAAAGUGAUAACAGGACCAUCUUUAAGCCAUUGGAGUCCUCUGAUACUCCUCAGUUUCUAAAUUCCAGCCAUCAAAUUCCAGAUCUAGUCACUCUUUCACUUUUGCCUAAGAGUCAAUGGCAGAGCUUGAUCAACCUGGACAUAAUAAAAGCCCGCAACAAACCUAUCGAGCCUCCAAAGAAACCUGAAAAGGCACCUUUUUUCUUGCCUUCAAUUCCAUCUCUGUCCGGUGAGAUAUUAUUUAAACCAAGUGAAGGUGCUAAUGAGGAGGGUAAUGCACAAAAUACCAGAUUGGAAGAGAGCAGUAAGAAAACUGAUCUUCCAGUAUCCAAAUUCUUGCAAAUUCUCAAGUCAUGUGCGGAGAAAGAGAAUUUUGCACCAUUCACUAAUUAUAUCAAAAGCUUGUCACCUUCAAUAUUGGAUAUGGAGCUGCGAAUGCUUCAGAUAAUAGAUGACGAUGACGAGCAGGAGCCUGAGAAGAGACAGGAAUUGCAUUUUAUUGAACUGCUACUUGAUUACUUUAUACACGAGAUUUCAUGCAGAAGCAAUUUUGAAUAUAUUCAAGCUCUGGUUAGAUUGUUUUUGAAGAUUCAUGGUGAAACAGUCCGACGUCAGUCAAAAUUGCAGGAGAAGGCAAGAAAGCUUUUAGAAGUUCAAUCUGCAGUUUGGCAAAAAAUAGAUAACUUGUUCCAAAAUACCAGAUGCAUGAUCACGUUUCUUAGCAACUCCCAGCUUUGAUUAAUUUCAACAUGACAAUAUCCCUUAGCUGUUGUAUUGUAAUUCCAAUUUCUUUUUUCUUAUAGGUAUAUUUCAUUAAAACUUUAAUCCCAUUGUUACAAGCGUAAUUGCAAAUUUUG